rnacentral:lncRNA from 1 species
UUGGGGGUGGGGAGGGGGAGCCCGGAGCCCCGCAGCCUCAGAGGCUCUCGCUUCACAGUGGGGAGCCAGGACUGGGAGGAACAGGCGGGAAGGAGGAACAGGUGGGAAGCCCCUUCACAGGCUCCUCCUGGGAUUCCCCGGCAGGGGCUAAGCUGAUCCUGCAAGAGUUAUGCCGGCCCCUUCUCAGAGACAAAGCUCACACUGCACGGUGCUCCAGGUGCUCCAGGGCCCCAGGAUCGGGGGGGCCUUGGCCUUGCCCCGGAGAGAGAAGAAGGACCAACGGUGGCUGUCCUGAGUGCCUGCCGUGGCCCCACAAACAGCAGCACAAGCAUUCAGAGGGCCACCAGGUGCAGGCCCACGGGGUUGCAGGUGCUGCGUGCCCUCGGGGUCCUGUCCAUCCAUAAAAAGCUGCUUCACUUUUCCAUGUGUCUGCCUGGCCAUCAGUAGAGACAGAACAGUGACUGCAGCCCCCAAUCCCCUUGAGCCACAGAGAGCGACAGUGACCUUGAGUGUGGAGAGCAGCGGUGACCUUGAGCGGGUGGAGAGUGGUGGUGCCCUGGCUGCACGUGGAGACCGGUGGUGCCGUUAAGCCGUGGAGAGCUGCGGUGACCUUGAACGAGUGGAGAGCAGCAGUGCCCUUGAGCAUGCAGCGAACUGCAGUGCCCUUUAGUACGUGGAGAACGGCAGUGCCCUUUAGUACAUGGAGAACAGCAGUGCCCGUGAGCACCUGGAGAACAGCGGUGCCCUUUAGUAUAUGGAGAACGGCGGUGCCCUUGAGCGUGGAGAACGGCAGUGCCCUUUAGUACGUGGAGAACGGCGGUGCCCUUUAGUAUAUGGAGAACGGCGGUGCCCUUGAGCAUGCAGCGAACUGCAGUGCCCUUUAGUACAUGGAGAACGGCAGUGCCCGUGAGCACCUGGAGAACGGCAGUGCCCUUUAGUACGUGGAGAACGGCGGUGCCCUUUAGUACAUGGAGAACAGCAGUGCCCGUGAGCACCUGGAGAACGGCAGUGCCCUUGAGCAUGUGGAGAACGGCGGUGCCCUUUAGUACGUGGAGAACGACGGUGCCCUUGAGCACGUGGAGAACGGCGGUGCCCGUGAGCACCUGGAGAAUGGCGGUGCCCUUGAGCACGUGGAGAACGGCGGUGCCCUUUAGUACAUGGAGAACGGUGGUGCCCGUGAGCACGUGGAGAACGGCAGUGCCCUUGAGCACUCGGAGAACGGCAGUGCCCUUUAGAGGUGAGAAGUGGC